rnacentral:rRNA from 1 species
UACGAAGGGGGCUAGCGUUGUUCGGAUUUACUGGGCGUAAAGCGCACGUAGGCGGAUCGUUAAGUCAGGGUGAAAUCCUGGAGCUCAACUCCAGAACUGCCUUUGAUACUGGCGAUCUCGAGUCCGGAAGAGGUGAGUGGAACUCCUAGUGUAGAGGUGGAAUUCGUAGAUAUUAGGAAGAACACCAGUGGCGAAGGCGGCUCACUGGUCCGGUACUGACGCUGAGGUGCGAAAGCGUGGGGAGCAAACAGG